CUCCGGGGGGGGCUAACAGUUCCCUCCCUCCCGGGCACCGAGGCACAGUCACAUGCUGCUCACAAGCUUCUGUCCAGGGGAAAGCUGGCGGUGAGUGCUUGCUCUUUCCUCUUCAAUGAACCUGCUUUUCCAUCUUGGAAGAGGAUGAAAUGCACCUCUCAGAAUGCAAGUUUCCCUGCGGACACUAUCCCCAGUGGUGGAGUGAUGGAGAGAACUGAGAUGAGGUCAGGGAACAACUGAACUAAAAACUCACGAAAUGGAAGAUGGAGAAACAAACUCAGUGACAUGAAGUGACUCCAAAAACUUCCAGAAGGAGGGGAACGUAGCCUCGUAAUUGAGUACUUGCCUAGCAUGCAAGUUUCUAGGCUCAGUCCCCAGCAUGAUGGAGCAGGUUUGGAAGGAAUUUUCACAAGUCACAGAGGCCCUUGGAAAUGUGUUUCCUGGUGGGAAACACAAAGCUGUGAGACAUGAGAUGUUCUCACUCUGGGUGCGAGUGGAAGGUCCAAGGGGAGGAAAUACCCCUCGCACCCCCACAAAAGUGUUUCAAGAGCCAAGUGGAAGGAUGCAGAGGCACAGCAUAGGGCUUCACUGUGGCUAUCCUGUCUUCAAUGCUGGCUGGACUGGAGAAUUCCCAGAAUGCUCUUGGACAUUGGAGUACUUCCUGCAGAUGGGAGGAGGUGGUCUGCCUGGGAGAAGCAAGUCACCUGGGUCACAUGGCACUUGACCUUCAAGACUAAACGAGAAGGAACGCCUGGUAGGAUGGGUGCUGUUUUUACGAAGUCCAGGAGGUCAAGCAAUGAGCCAUUGGGGUGAAUCACCGAACAGAACACUAAAGGGAGACUUUUGUUCCAAUCAUGAGUUUAGAGGAGAGUCUUAAAAUGGUAAGGACAAGUAAAUAUGGGGCAAGAAGCAUAACCGAGCCAAGAAAUGCUGGAGCAGAUGACAACUGAACAGUAGAAACCAGGCAGAGGCCAGCCCUACAGGGCCAGGGAGGAAAGAAACAGCAGACUGGAGAAAACAAUAAAAAGGGAGAAAAAGAAAUAUGGAGAUGGGGAGGAUGAAAUGGAA
rnacentral:lncRNA from 1 species